GGUAGUUCCGAUAAAAUAUAAGAAAUGCAAUGUGUCUGUUAGAUAUAGUAUCAUCAUGGAAAAAUACGUAGGUAUCGCUCAGAAACAGCGUGCUAUUAACAUGCGCCAAUAAAGAUGUUAAGGAAGUAUUAGUAGUGAGGAGAUCAAGCUCCUUGCCCCGAGCAGAUGGAAAAAAAUAGUAGUGACAGUGUCUGAUAGAUGUAAUGUGUUCGACGGUUAAUACUUCGUGAUUUCGAUAUUUUGUGUUAGAGGUUAUGAUGUGUUUUAUUUAAUAUAUAAAAGUGAAGAGAAUAGUGAAAAAAGAAAACAAUGUACAAUUAUACUUGUUCGCCGUAAGAUAGUGCAUUUGUGCUGUAUAUUUUAUGACAUGUAGUUUAAAUUGAAGAAUUAAUCCUCUGAUUUUUUUGUAACUAUCUCAUGAGAGCUAAAUUAUCGUUAACCUUACUACAUUUCUGAAGCUUUUCUCGUUCGAAUCAAGUGUUCAUUUUUUUAACGCCAUUGUUUAUUUAAUAUGUUUAAAAUUUUUUACUUACGAUUAACCACCUUCUCAUUUAUCGACGAUACAUUUUUAUUUGAGAAAUUUACAUGUUCCUAAUUUUUCCUGUUUUGUUUCUUCGUAUAAUUAUAACCUCUGAUCAAAGAAUUAGGAACAUCAUAGUUUUUAUACCACAUUUCCUACGGUAAUCGUAGUGUUGGAAGUCCACACACAAAAGGGCACGGAAGUUCCGCAAUUAACCGUCGAGUUGUGAGUUCAGCAAAAUGGCAAAUUUUAAGAAAGACGGCUGAAGUAAAUCGGGAGAUAUCGUAAAAGAGAGAAGUCGCCUGUGCCCGCCAACUUGGACUGCGUCACGAGUUUCCAGAGUUCACCGGCAUGUUGGUAGUACCCAAUCAGCCAGACUCUAUUUACCGAACUUCUCUUCUCUGUUGACCCGAAACGCACCGGGAAGAGGAGGAAACUUUUUUAUCUUAUUGCCCGCAAGAAAGAGCUAAAUUACCUUUGACAAUGAGCACGCCGACAUGGUCGGCGGCUGUGGCAAUAUUUUUUAAUUAUAUUUCAAUUAAGCCGCCUGGAACUAUCCGCUAGAACACUGCAUUCGACCACCGACGUGGGAACUAAUAAUCCACGGAGAAAUUAGUGUAAUGGCAUCAUUACCCAAGGAAUCUAUAAAAAAGUUCUAUUCUGUCAUUUGUCUGGCGGAGAAGGAAGUUGAGCUACAGAAUUUAUAGUUUAUGACCAACCAUGCUGGCUGCGACAUCGUUGGGACCAAGUCUACUCAUUUUUCUUAUCGUUUCUGCAAAUGGCAAAUUUGUGGAGGAGAAUGAGGAAUAUCUAAGGUUCCCAAAGAACUUUCUCCUGGGAGCUGCGACGGCAGCAUACCAAAUAGAGGGAGCUUGGAACGUGAGCGAUAAAGGAGAAAGUACCUGGGAUCGAUUCUGCCAUGCUAAAGAUGGACGCGUCGUAAACAAUGAUACGGGCGAUGUCGCUGCAAAUUCCUAUUACAAAUACAAAGAAGAUGUGGCUUUGUUGAAAAAAAUAGGGUUUACCACGUAUAGGUUUUCCGUGAGCUGGUUGCGAAUACUCCCUACGGGGUUCCCGAACAAGGUCAGCCGUGACGGCGUCAAAUAUUACAAUGAUCUGAUCGACGAGCUCCUGGCGAACGGGAUCGAGCCGCUGAUGACGAUAUAUCACUGGGAUCACCCGCAAAUUAUGGAGGACGCAGGUGGCUGGACGAAUGCGGAAAUGGUCAACUGGUUUGCCGAUUACGCGAGGGUCGUGUUCAAAGAGUUUGGGUCGAAGGUGAAGCGAUUCAUCCCGAUAAACGAACCCUGUGUUAUCUGCGAGAUGGGCUACUCCAAGGGGUUACACGCGCCCGGAAAAAAGCUGCACGGUAUUGGGGAGUACCUGUGCGUCCACAACGUUCUGAAAGCUCACGCGAAAGUCUAUAGGAUCUAUCAGAACGAAUUUAAAACUACACAGCAGGGUGAGGUGGGAUUCAUGGUCAAUACGAACGGUUAUUUACCGAAAAAUUCGCCAGACACAAAAUCAGUCGACAUCGCGUACACAUUCAGCGUCGGGUGGAUUUUGAAUCCAGUCUACACGGAGGCAGGUGACUAUCCGGAAAUGAUGAAGAAAAUGGUGGCGAAUAAAAGCUUGGAGCAGGGUUACCCGAAAUCACGGUUACCGGAGUUCGAACCUGAAUGGAUUGCGUAUAUAAAGCAAACAUCGGACUUCCUGGCGCUGAAUCAUUAUACUUCGAAAUUGGUAUCACCUGGAUGUAGUGGCGAAAUACCUUCUCAACUGAAUGACCAAGGUCUUUCUUUUGAUAUAGAUCCGUCAUGGAAACCGUCAGCAUCUUCAUGGUUGAAAGUUGUACCUGAAGGACUUCGAAACGUUCUUCGUGAAUUGUCAUUGAAAUAUGGUAACCCACCUAUAUACAUUACUGAAAAUGGUUUUUCCGAUUCUGGAUGCCUUAAUGACACAGAUCGAAUCGAUUAUCAUCGUAGCUACUUGAAAGAAAUGCUUCUCGCUAUGCAUAUUGAUGGCGUUAACGUGCGAGGAUACUAUGCAUGGUCGCUUCUGGAUAAUUUCGAAUGGGAAAGAGGAUACAGUGAACGAUUCGGUAUCAUAUUCGUCGAUUUCAACAAUCCAGAGAGACCACGAACAUUGAAACAAUCUGCCAGCUGGUGGCAGAAGAUUAUAAGGGACAGAAAACUCGACCACAAGUGGUCGAUUCAAUAGCAUAAUAUUCUUAAAGGUUGUGUUUCAUGUUACCCGAACCACAAUUUGCUAGUAUAUGUCAACUGUCGUUCAUACCUUUAUAUAAUAUUUUAAUUAAUAAUUUCUUAAAUCUUCAAGUCAUACUUAUUUCUCAACAUUCCGAUACUUUCUUUCACACUCUUUAUUCAUAUUCUUCGACUGAAAUACUAAUACAAGACAUAAUACAACAUUGAACAAAUUCAAACACAAGUAUUAUCGGUAAGAAAGUCGAUAGAAAACUCGAACGCUAGUCGUCUGCGCCGUAAAAGUGCGACGAGUAAGAAGUCCCUAGUUGAGAAUCAUUAUUUGUUUAGCAAUCGAUCGUUGCACCACACGGUUCAGUCACCAACAGGUAUUUGUAAGAGCCGACACUUGACAGUAGCACGGCGUAUUCUUCCGUCGGAAGUUGACGGAAUGCGCAACGUUCAAAAAUUGGAACGCACGAGCAGAAGUGGAUGAGUGGUAAAAAGAUCGACAGUCGAAAAUAUUUUAAGAUAUACAGUUGGGGGCAAAAGUAAGUGGACAGGUAGUAAAAAUGACUAUUAAUGAUGUUUAAUGAAGAUAAUUGUAUUGUUAUACAACUAAAUUUUAUUAACUACGUAUUUUCAUUGCAUAAUCAUUAUUCAAGCAAUAAUUGAAAGUAUUAUUUACAGUUCCAAUAAAUAAAUAAUGUUUAAUGAAUAAUGCGUGGGGACAAAGGUAAGUCAACACGUAAAAUGUUACAAUGUUAUUUGAAUUCACGAAAUGUGAACUAACGUCGCGUGCUUGUGACUGAUACACAGAUUGUAAACAAACAUCUAGCAGUUUGAAAUAUGUUUUCGUGGCAGUAGGAUUGUCUGCUAAUAUUAUCAGGAUGACACAAAUCAGAGAACUUUCGUUACAAAUUCGAAAUCUGAUUAUUUCGAACUGCCACAAAGGAGUAAUUUAAAACGUUGUGGACGGAAAACAUGUACGACUGUACACGAUGAUCGACGAAUUGUCCGCGAACGUCGGCGACAUUCAACGACUUCAUCCCGAAAGUUAGUGGAAUCAUUCAAAUUGAAUGUAUCGACGAAAACUGUAAAACGAGGACUACGUGAAGUUGAAUUACAGAAUCGCAGGGCUAAAUGUAACCCUAGUAUUAGUGAAAGAAAUAGAAAGAAACGUUUUGCUUUUGCAAAAAAAUACAUUAAUAUGCCAAUGUCUUUUUGGGAAAAAGUAAUGUGAACCGAUGAAAGCAAAUUUGAGUAACGGCAAUUAAAAGGGCAGAAGCGUGUGUGGAGGAAACCUAAUGAAGCAUAUAAGAAACAAUUUAUUAAUCCGACAGUAACAUUUGGAGGUAGAUCUUUGAUGGUGGGGAUAUUUUGUAUAUCAUAGGAGUGGAACAUUAGUGUGCAUUGAUGGUAUAAUGGAUGCAGACAAAUAUAUUAAUAUAAUAAACGAAAAUUUAGAAUUAUCAGUGCUGAAAAUAGGCUUAGAUGAAAAUUUUAUAUUUCAACAAGAUAACGACUUUGCAUACCGCAAAGAAAGCUCAACAAUUUUUGCAAGAUUCAGGCAUUAAGUUACUCGAAUUACCAGCACAGAGCCCCGGAUUUAAAUUGUGUUGAAAAUUUGUGGAGUGUACUAGAUUCUAAAGUACCAUUAGAUAGUCGUAAUGAUAAAAAAGCGGUUUUUAACUCUUCGACUACACUGUUUGCACAAAUUAACAAAAAUUAUAUAGAAAAUUUAGUAAAUGGUAUGCCGCGCUUACGUUUAAAGGCAGUUGUAAAAACAAAGGGCAGUAAUACUAAAUAUUAAUCAUUAAUUAUUUAUGAUAACAAUAAUAGUUUAUAAUUACUGUGUUAUGUGUUCAUUUACUUUUGUCUCCACGCAUCUGGUUGCCUUAUUCAUUAAACAUUAUUUAUUUAUACAGAACUGUAAAUAUUACUUUCCAUUGUUGCUUGAAUAAUGUAUAUACAAUGAAAAUAUGUAGUCAAUAAAAUUUAGUUAUAUAACAAUACGAUUAUCUUCGUUAAACAUCAUUAAUAAUCAUUAUUACUACCUGUCCACUUAUUUUUGUCUUCGACGUAAAUAUAUUUUAACAAGGCACACGGGUAUUCCUAUAUAUUUUAGAUAAUGAAGACAUGGCGAACACAAAUUUUACUGAGUAACGAGUUUGUCAGAGUUUCGGUACUGAGGUUUGAAUUCGAAUUCCAAGGAUCUCUUGAAUUCGGGUACUUAUAUACUGAAAUAUAGAAGCGGAAGGGCGAGGAUGACGAAGCGUUAGUGAUGAAACCUGCUCGUCGUGAUUCAGGGUUCGGAGGUGGCUUUGCAGAAGACGCCCGAAAAUACUGAGUCAUUAGAGUAACGUAGACUGAAUCACUAGGGCAACGCAGCACGUUGCAGAUAACGCGGAUUGGUCACCCAACAGUACUCUUUUGUCGGGAGCCGACGCGAUACGCAGCGUUCGGAUUCUCAGAAUUACACUGUGGAACACGAUUUUUGUUUUGUAAUAGCUGUUCGUGCACGCUGUCCAGGCAAUAUUAGUGGACGUGGCGUAACACUUUCUCACGCCGAAUUAACCUUGUGUGAAAUAUGUAGUUGUGUUGAUGAAAAAAGGCUUCUCCUUUUCUCGUUCGAAAGUGGACUGUAUUUGUUGAAUAUUGAGUGAAAGGAAUGCGUAUGUGUAUACAAAGUUGCAGUGUGUGUGUUGUCCAGUGAGUACAGCGUGAUUAGUAAUGAACUUGUGUUGUCUAUAUGUCUGUUUCAAUGUCUCUCUAUAUAUAUAUAAAAAUACUGAUAUAGGGCGGUGUCCUUAGUGACAAAUCAGAAGGCUAAACGAUCGGGGUGUUACUAAUUACAGUGUUUUAGCUUACGCCCAUAUUACUUG